rnacentral:lncRNA from 1 species
AUAUCCAUCUCUGAGUCUGUCACUGGGAGAAUGGGAUGCUUUUUUGGACCAGGCCUGACUUACAUACCCAUCUGGGACAAUAGGACUUUCUAUGGGGACAACUUCAUCUGUACAUGGACAGAGACUGAAGAAUGGAGAAACCCUGGACCAACUCCUUGAUUGCACCUGUGAGAGGCCCUGAAGCGGAGGGCCCAGCUAAGGUGUGUCUGGAUUUCUGACCCACAGAAACUGAGAUCAUAAAUGUGUGGUUUUAAGCCCUACUCCAGCACUUUCACAGUCAUUUACGGCAUCUGCAGAGCAGUGAAAAAUUUGAAUUGCCUGAGAUACAUGCUCCCUGCUGAAGUCGCACAAGCUGGCCAAUCCUGCUAAUCCUUUAAAACUCACCUGGAGGGAAGGCCUCCUUCUGCAAAGCCUCUCUUGAUGCAGAUUAUCAGCUUUCACUCUCUACCAGAUGGCAAGGAUAUUGCUGUUGGCUCAUAGGAUGUGAACAGUGGUGUUGAGAUUACCCUCAUUUGGCUGAUGAUGUCAUUGAGGCCCAGAGAAGGUAGGACACCUGGCAGGGCCUGGCUUUGGGGCUAACUUCUGCAGCUCUUUUGAUUGCCCCCACCUUACAGUUUUUGGCACAGAGCACUGUGUAGCUGGCACUUCUCUACUGGCCCGAAUGAGAAAACUUCCUCAGAGCAAAAUGUCAAGCACCAAAUAAGAUUCAUGUUUACUGUGAAGUGAUUGCUGCUUUUUAAAUGCUUAUCAGAAGCCGAAGGACAAACUCAGUAGGUUGAUUCAUGCUGAGCUCGACUACCUCCGUGAGAAAUGACUCUCCUGUAGGGCUCGAUGACCUUCAUGUCAAUGCGCUGCUCUUGUUCUCCA